AAUAAACGUAGUUCUGUAUUAUUCAUGUCUAACUUUUGAUUGUUCAUCUUAUUUGAAAAAAAAUUAUAAUUAGUAUUUUUAUUGUUAUUAGAUGAUAAAAUAUGAAUAUUACUUAUUGUGUGACUAUUUUUUUUAAUUUUUUCAUAAAAUUUUCAAAUAAGAUGAUCGGUCAAACGUGUCCUCACGGCUACACUUAUU
rnacentral:pre_miRNA from 1 species